rnacentral:rRNA from 1 species
UACGUAGGGUGCAAGCGUUAAUCGGAAUUACUGGGCGUAAAGCGUGCGCAGGCGGUGAUGUAAGACAGUUGUGAAAUCCCCGGGCUCAACCUGGGAACUGCAUCUGUGACUGCAUUGCUGGAGUGCGGCAGAGGGGGGAUGGAAUUCCGCGUGUAGCAGUGAAAUGCGUAGAUAUGCGGAGGAACACCGAUGGCGAAGGCAAUCCCCUGGGCCUGCACUGACGCUCAUGCACGAAAGCGUGG